AGAASGACUCUCGGCAACGGAUAUCUCGGCUCACGCAUCGAUGAAGAACGUASCAAAAUGCGAUACUUGGUGUGAAUUGCAGAAUCCCGUGAACCAUCGAGUUUUUGAACGCAAGUUGCGCCCGAAGCCAUUCGGUUGAGGGCACAUCUGCCUGGGCGUCACG
rnacentral:rRNA from 1 species